rnacentral:rRNA from 1 species
UACGUAGGGGGCAAGCGUUGUCCGGAAUCAUUGGGCGUAAAGAGCGUGUAGGCGGCCCGGUAAGUCUGUUGUGAAAGUCCAGGGCUCAACCCUGGGAUGCCGGUGGAUACUGUCGAGCUCGAGUCCGGAAGAGGCGAGUGGAAUUCCUGGUGUAGCGGUGAAAUGCGCAGAUAUCAGGAGGAACACCAAUGGCGAAGGCAGCUCGCUGGGACGUGACUGACGCUGAGACGCGAAAGCGUGGGGAGCAAACAGG